AGACCCGAAACCCGGUGAUCUAGCCAUGGGCAGGUUGAAGGUUGGGUAACACUAACUGGAGGACCGAACCGACUAAUGUUGAAAAAUUAGCGGAUGACCUGUGGCUGGGGGUGAAAGGCCAAUCAAACCGGGAGAUAGCUGGUUCUCCCCGAAAGCUAUUUAGGUAGCGCCUCGUGAAUUCAUCUCCGGGGGUAGAGCACUGUUUCGGCUAGGGGGCCAUCCCGGCUUACCAACCCGAUGCAAACUGCGAAUACCGGAGAAUGUUAUCACGGGAGACACACGGCGGGUGCUAACGUCCGUCGUGAAGAGGGAAACAACCCAGACCGCCAGCUAAGGUCCCAAAGUCAUGGUUAAGUGGGAAACGAUGUGGGAAGGCCCAGACAGCCAGGAUGUUGGCUUAGAAGCAGCCAUCAUUUAAAGAAAGCGUAAUAGCUCACUGGUCGAGUCGGCCUGCGCGGAAGAUGUAACGGGGCUAAACCAUGCACCGAAGCUGCGGCAGCGAACGUAUCACCCAAGACAACUUUACGGAGUUGACGAUUGACGGAGCGAAGCGACGUCAAAGCGUUCAUUAAAGUCGAGUUGGCUUAGGGAUACGUUCGUUGGGUAGGGGAGCGUUCUGUAAGCCUGUGAAGGUGUGUCGUGAGGCAUGCUGGAGGUAUCAGAAGUGCGAAUGCUGACAUAAGUAACGAUAAAGCGGGUGAAAAGCCCGCUCGCCGGAAGACCAAGGGUUCCUGUCCAACGUUAAUCGGGGCAGGGUGAGUCGACCCCUAAGGCGAGGCCGAAAGGCGUAGUCGAUGGGAAACGGGUUAAUAUUCCCGUACUUGGUGUUACUGCGAAGGGGGGACGGAGAAGGCUAUGUUGGCCGGGCGACGGUUGUCCCGGUUUAAGCGUGUAGGUGUGUGUUCCAGGUAAAUCCGGUUCACUUUAACACUGAGGCGUGACGACGAGGCACUACGGUGCUGAAGCAACAAAUGCCCUGCUUCCAGGAAAAGCCUCUAAGCAUCAGGUAACAUCAAAUCGUACCCCAAA
rnacentral:rRNA from 1 species